UUCCCUACAAAUAUGAUGAACCAGCUGGUUCCCAUGUUCCCAUCACAAACCGCCUUGUUUUAGCCGAUUUUCUGACCGAAGCGUUACUUGGAUUAGGUCCUGGAUAUAACUUUUUUUUAAAUAUUUUUUAAAUUUUUUAUUAUAUAUUUUUUAGGGUAAAUUUCUCCAUGUCUCUUAUUUUUUUGAGAGCAUUUCUAAAUGGACCCAAGAAUUUAUACUAUUUUUAAUAGCAUUUUGUUUUUAUCUUUUCUAUCUGGCAACAUUUUUGAUUUUUUUGAUUUUAUAUAUUUUUUUUAAAAACUUUUGAAAUGAUCACCUCUUAUCAAAACCUAAAGUCGUCUUAAGCAUUCAGUCUCGCUCUCUAAACUCCGUCGAGGUCUCGCAGGAUUUCUCUACAACUUGUGAUGAAAGCGGCUCUAAAACCAAUCCCGCUUUGAUAACAGGCCUCUGUGCUCCAGCUUUAGUUUUGAAUGGAGCUUUUAUUUUACAAGCUAUUAUUUGGAAGAGGAGACGCUCGAAAAGGAGAAGAAUGGCUGAGAUCUCAACCUUUGGUCUUAGGGUUUUCUCGUACAAAGAAUUCGAUAAUGCAACUUGAGUAUUUUCAGAGAAGCUUGGCCAUGGCGGUUUUGGUGUGGUUUUCAGGGGUGUUUUUCCCGAUUCUUCCAAAGUCGCUUAGAGAAACCAUGAGUUUCAGGCGAGAAAGAGUUCAUCAAUGAAAUCCUCACCAUUAGAACCCUGCAACACGUUAACCUAGUUCGACUUUGAGGUUUGAGGUUUUUGCUCUGAAAACUUGAAUCGCCCUCUUGCCUAUGAUUUCAUGGCGAAUGGUCCAUUAAUAUCUUAUUUCAAUCAAGAAUCGACCAAAACACUACACUAGGUAACUAGAUUCAAAAUAGCUUUAGGUUCAGUGAGGGGAAUUGCCUAUCUCCAUGAAGAGGGCGUAGACUAAAUAAUUCACUGUGAUAUCAAAUUCUGUUGAAAGUUGACCCUAUCUCUAUGGGUGGUUACAGCUAAAAAACAGAAUCAUCUAUUUUUGAGGAGUCUCUCAUGGUUACUUCACUAUGUUGAGCUACUUUUAUGGGAUUAUGAUAUGGUGUAUCAUUGUGUAAAUAAAUAUGGUGCAACCCAUGUAAUGGAGAUUUGAAAAACAUAAUAGUGACUUUCUUCUUCCGUGGAUGUACACGUAUAUGCUCGUUACUAGUUCAUUUGAUUUAUUUUGUCUUCAUGGUAUCAUAGCAGAUCAAUUUCAGAGCUACUAACGGCUGUUCUUUGGGUCAGUGUUGAUCUAGUCUCUAUAAAAUUUGAGAGAGACUUGUUCUAGCAUCUUCCAUUAUUGAACCAGACAGGGCCACGGGGAAGAUGAUUGGUGAGGGGCAUACUUCACAUGGCUUAUAUGUAGUUGAUUUGCAGAAUAAAGCCUUAACAUCUAGACAAAAUUUGAAUGAUGGUAAUUUAUGGCACUCUAGGAUUGGCCAUCCUUUAGACAAUAUUUUAAAGAUUCUAUUUCGACUUUAUUCAGAUUCAAGUUCAUGUGAUGUAUGCAAAUUUUCAAAACAAGUUCGAUUACCUUUUCAAAGUUCUACAAGUUUUUCUGAUGGGCCCCUCCAUUUGAUACAUUCUGAUGUUUAGGGACCUGCCCCGACAACUUAUUAUAAUGGGUUUAAGUAUUUUGUCACAUUUAUUGAGGAUAAAUCUUGGACCACUUGGAUAUAUUUAUUGAAAUUGAAGAGUAAAGUUUUUCUUACUUUCAAAGAAUUCCAUCAUAUGGUUUCAAAUCAAUUUAAUGCAAGAAUCAAGAUCCUUCAUACCGACAAUGGAAUCAAAUUAGUUAAUAAUAAUUUUUCGGAUUUUCUCACUCCUCGUGGCAUUAUACACCAAACCUCUUGUACAGGGACUCUUCAACAAAAUGGUAUUGCCAAAAAAAAAAAAGGCACUUACUGGAGGUGACCAGAUCCAUCAUGUUCCAAAUGAAUAUACCAAAAGUUUAUUGGUCUGAUGAUGUUGAUAUUUAUUACUUGAAAGUUUUUGGGUGCACCUGUUAUGUUCAUAAACAAAAUAGAGACAAACUUGAAAAACGGGCCACUAAAUGUAUCUUUCUUAGGUAUUCUUUUACUAAAAAGGGGUACAAAUGCAAUACAGUCCAAAGAAAAAGAAAUUAUAUGUGUCAAGGGAUGUUGUUUUUACUGAAACUGAGCCUUAUUUUCACAGUAAUUUUGCUGAAUCUUUCGAAAAUAUGAUUCAGGGGGAGUGUACUAAUAUCUCACCACUACUUCUUGUUAAUACUGAUAUUUUCAAGCAAAAAAUUAUUAGUGAAACUCCUCAAAAUGGUAGUGCUGAAGAAAAUUGUGAAAAUCAUCAAGUUGAAGACAGAUCUGAAGUGAUUUACGAAGAACACGUGGCCCAGUCUCAUGAACUUACGAUUCCUCUAUGGCGAUCCACUCGUGUUACUCAUCUUCCAUCUAAUCUUAAGGAUUUUUUCACUUAUCAUGUUGUUUCUCAUCCUUUUCAGGAAUACAAAUGUUACAAUAAUGUGUCCCCUAAUUAUA